AGGAUAAUAGUUUAAGAAAAACAUUUAAAUUGCACUUAAAAAUUAUUUUAUUAAUUUAUCUU
rnacentral:tRNA from 1 species